rnacentral:misc_RNA from 1 species
ACACCUCAACUCGCAUGGUCUUGCCAUGACGAGCUUGGACUUUGGGGGGUAUUGCUGGCCUAUAGGUCAGCUCCUUUCAAAUGAAUCAGCUUGCCAGUGUUUGGUGGCAUCACAAGUGUGAUAACUAUCUACGCUUGUGGUUUUCCACCAGGCAACCUCCAGCGAUGGGGGUUCGCUGGAGCUCACAAAUGUCUCUCCUAAGUGAAGACAGCUUUUUGAAC